AACGCGAAGAACCUUACCAGGGCUUGACAUCCUCUGUAAAGUGCAGAAAUGCACUCCCCAUGGCAACAUGGCAGGGUGACAGGUGCUGCAUGGCUGUCGUCAGCUCGUGUCGUGAGAUGUUGGGUUAAGUCCCGCAACGAGCGCAACCCUCGUCGAGUGUUGCCAUCAUUUAGUUGGGCACUCACUCGAGACCGCCGUUGAUAAGACGGAGGAAGGUGGGGAUGACGUCAAGUCCGCAUGGCCCUUACGUCCUGGGCUACACACGUGCUACAAUGGCCGGUACAACGGGCAGCUAGUCCGCAAGGACAAGCUAAUCCCUUAAAAACCGGUCUCAGUUCGGAUUGAAGGCUGCAACUCGCCUUCAUGAAGUCGGAAUCGCUAGUAACUGCAGAUCAGCUACGCUGCGGUGAAUACGUUCCCGGGCCUUGUA
rnacentral:rRNA from 2 species